GACGGAGGGUGCUAGCGUUGUUCGGAUUCAUUGGGCGUAAAGGGUGCGUAGGCGGCGCGGUAAGUCGGGUGUGAAAUCUCGGAGCUUAACUCCGAAACUGCAUUCGAUACUGCCGUGCUUGAGGACUGGAGAGGAGACUGGAAUUUACGGUGUAGCGGUGAAAUGCGUAGAUAUCGUAAGGAAGACCAGUGGCGAAGGCGGGUCUCUGGACAGUUCCUGACGCUGAGGCACGAAGGUCAGGGGAGCAAACGGG
rnacentral:rRNA from 1 species